CGGGAUGUAGCGCAGUCUGGUUUAGCGCACCUGCUUUGGGAGCAGGGGGUCGUCGGUUCGAAUCCGACCAUCCCGACCA
rnacentral:tRNA from 1 species